rnacentral:rRNA from 1 species
CUUCGGGUGAGCGGCGGACGGGUUAGUAACGCGUGGGAACGUGCCCUUCUCUACGGAAUAGCCUCUGGAAACGGAGAGUAAUACCGUAUACGCCCUUUGGGGGAAAGAUUUAUCGGAGAAGGAUCGGCCCGCGUUAGAUUAGGUAGUUGGUGGGGUAACGGCCUACCAAGCCUACGAUCUAUAGCUGGUUUUAGAGGAUGAUCAGCAACACUGGGACUGAGACACGGCCCAGACUCCUACGGGAGGCAGCAGUGGGGAAUCUUAGACAAUGGGGGCAACCCUGAUCUAGCCAUGCCGCGUGAGUGAUGAAGGCCUUAGGGUCGUAAAGCUCUUUCGCCUGUGAUGAUAAUGACAGUAGCAGGUAAAGAAACCCCGGCUAACUCCGUGCCAGCAGCCGCGGUAAUACGGAGGGGGUUAGCGUUGUUCGGAAUUACUGGGCGUAAAGCGCGCGUAGGCGGAUUAGAAAGUUGGGGGUGAAAUCCCGGGGCUCAACCCCGGAACUGCCUCCAAAACUGCUAGUCUAGAGUUCGAGAGAGGUGAGUGGAAUUCCGAGUGUAGAGGUGAAAUUCGUAGAUAUUCGGAGGAACACCAGUGGCGAAGGCGGCUCACUGGCUCGAUACUGACGCUGAGGUGCGAAAGUGUGGGGAGCAAACAGGAUUAGAUACCCUGGUAGUCCACACCGUAAACGAUGAAUGCCAGUCGUCGGAUAGUAUACUAUUCGGUGACACACCUAACGGAUUAAGCAUUCCGCCUGGGGAGUACGGUCGCAAGAUUAAAACUUAAAGGAAUUGACGG